AAAUCGGAAGCGAGAACUCGAAAAAGUAAUUUAGUAAAACUCGCCGCCUAUAAAAUCCAAAACCGAGGGCCAAGACGAAGUAUUCACUCAAGGACCGCGAGUCAUGCAUUGUGGUGUGAACAGUUACCAAAACAACGAAAAUGAACCAACGUCUUUGCUGUCUUAUUGUUCUCUUUCUCUCCGAGGUCCCUCUCCUGGCCGCCGGCGACCGUAAAGGAGCGUUGGUUGGUCGUCAAGGACGGUCCUUCGACCAAGAAAUUUGAAGCUGUCGUUUGGGAGAAGCCAUGGGAGCAUUUCAAGAGUCUCACCUCGUUUAAGCCUAUGUUUGGGGGAUGGACUCCGAUAGACCCCACGGAGAAGCACGUGAUGGUGAUCGUGCAGUUCGCGGUGACAGAGUACAACAAACGGUCAAAGAGCGCGUUGAAGUUCGAGAGCGUGGAGAAGGCCUAGACUCAGGUGGUUUCCGGCACCAAUUACCGGCUGAUCUUGGUCGUCAAGGACGAACCUUCGACCAAGAAAUUGUUAGUUGUCGUUUGGGAGAAGCCAUGGGAGCAUUUCAAGAGUCUCACCUCGUUUAAGCCUAUGCCUGGGGGAUGGACUCCGAUAGACCCCACGGAGAAGCACGUGAUGGAGAUCGGGCAGUUCGCGGUGACAGAGUACAACAAACGGUCAAAGUGCGCGUUUAAGUUCGAGAGCGUGGAGAACGCCUGGACUCAGGUGGUUUCCGGCACAAAUUACCGGCUGAUCUUGAUCGUCAAGGACGGAGCUUCGACCAAGAAAUUUGAAGCUGUCGUUUGGGAGAAGCCAUGGGAGCAUUUCAAAAGUCUCACCUCGUUUAAACCUAUGCCUGGGGGAUGGACUCCGAUAGACCCCACGGAGAAGCACGUGAUGGUGAUCGUGCAGUUCGCGGUGACAGAGUACAACAAACGGUCAAAGAGCGCGUUGAAGUUCGAGAGCGUGGAGAAGGCCGAGACUCAGGUGGUUUCCGGCACCAAUUACCGGCUGAUCUUGGUCGUCAAGGACGGACUUUCGACCAAGAAAUUUGAAGCUGUCGUUUGGGAGAAGCCAUGGGAGCAUUUCAAAAGUCUCACCUCGUUUAAACCUAUGCCUGGGGGAUGGACUCCGAUAGACCCCACGGAGAAGCACGUGAUGGAGAUCGGGCAGUUCGCGGUGACAGAGUACAACAAACGGUCAAAGAGCGCGUUGAAGUUCGAGAGCGUGGAGAAGGCCUGGACUCAGGUGGUUUCCGGCACCAAUUACCGGCUGAUCUUGGUCGUCAAGGACGGACCUUCGACCAAGAAAUUUGAAGCUGUCGUUUGGGAGAAGCCAUGGGAGCAUUUCAAGAGUCUCACCUCGUUUAAGCCUAUGCCUGGGGGAUGGACUCCGAUAGACCCCACGGAGAAGCACGUGAUGGAGAUCGGGCAGUUCGCGGUGACAGAGUACAACAAACGGUCAAAGAGCGCGUUGAAGUUCGAGAGCGUGGAGAAGGCCGAGACUCAGGUGGUUUCCGGCACCAAUUACCGGCUGAUCUUGGUCGUCAAGGACGGACCUUCGACUAAGAAAUUUGAAGCUGUCGAUUGGGAGAAGCCAUGGGAGCAUUUCAAGAGUCUCACAUCGUUUAAGCCUAUAUUUGGGGGAUGGACUCCGAUAGACCCCACGGAGAAGCACGUGAUGGAGAUCGGGCAGUUCGCGGUGACAGAGUACAACAAACGGUCAAAGAGCGCGUUGAAGUUCGAGAGCGUGGAGAAGGCCGAGACUCAGGUGGUUUCCGGCACCAAUUACCGGCUGAUCUUGGUCGUCAAGGACGGACCUUCGACCAAGAAAUUUGNNN
rnacentral:lncRNA from 1 species